CUCUGCCCCUUCCCUGUUCGCACUCUGUCUCUCUCAAAAAUAAAUAAACAUUAAAAAAAAUUUUUUUAAAAAGAAAGUUGUACUGUGUCUCCACACUCAUCCAUUCACAUUUCCUCAAUGGCUGCUUUUGCAUUAAAGAGGUAGAGCUGAGGCUGCAAAGUCAGAGCCCUACGGUCCAUAGAGCAUCAUAUAUUUACUGGCAAGUAAAAGACCAAGAAAAAUAAAUUCUCUUUGUCAG